GAUGAACGCUGGCGGCGUGCCUAAUACAUGCAAGUCGAGCGAACGGACGAGAAGCUUGCUUUUCUGAUGUUAGCGGCGGACGGGUGAGUAACACGUGGAUAACCUACCUAUAAGACUGGGAUAACUUCGGGAAACCGGAGCUAAUACCGGAUAAUAUUUUGAACCGCAUGGUUCAAAAGUGAAAGACGGUCUUGCUGUCACUUAUAGAUGGAUCCGCGCUGCAUUAGCUAGUUGGUAAGGUAACGGCUUACCAAGGCAACGAGGCAUAGCCGACCUGAGAGGGGGGUCGGCCACACUGGAACUUGGACACGGUCCCGACUCCUACGGGAGGCAGCAGUAGGGAAACUUCCGCAAUGGGCGAAAGCCUGACGGAGCAACCCCGCGUGAGUGAUGAAGGUCUUCGGAUCGUAAAACUCUGUUAUUAGGGAAGAACAUAUGUGUAAGUAACUGUGCACAUCUUGACGGUACCUAAUCAGAAAGCCACGGCUAACUACGUG
rnacentral:rRNA from 1 species